AGGAGUGUUUCCCAUGCAAAUUAGAAUUUCUCUCAGUAAGGACUGACGGAUGGCCAUUCACUCAUAAAACCUUUUAAAGGUUAGCACGAAUGCAUCCAGCAUAAUUUUGGAUCUUUACCAUUGAGGAGACUGGCUGACUGUUCUCAACCAACCAUCAUUCACACGCAAAAACUUUAAAGGUAAGUAUGAACGUGUCUAGAGCAGUUUUGGAUCUUUACCAUUGAGGAGGUUGACUGACUUUCAUCUACCAACUGUCAUUAACACAACAAAAACUAAAGAAAUGUUACUACAAGUGGACCUAUUCAGUUACUCAUUAUGCUGUGAGUACACCACAAUUUUAUCAGUGAAACAAUAAUGUUUGUUUUUUCUCAAUGCUUGGCA